UACUUACUUAUUUGAUAAAUAAAUAGUACCCAUAACAUGUUGGCUCCCCUCGCUGACUCUAAAUGUGAAUCCCUUCCGUGUUGGACAUGGGGCUUGGAACAUGGACUCAACUAUUGGAGGAAGAAUCUCAUUUUUCAUAUAAGGAUCAUUAGGGAUACUGCGCACAAGGAUGGAUUGUCAACUACUUCUUCUCCAACCAUUAAGUCAGUGCUAUAGAAAAUUUACUUUUUCGGAAAACGGUUUUCCCAAUGAUUGUCGGACGAUGAUUUAUUUAGAUUCUGAGAUCAUUGUGAAAGCUGAUUUUAAGGCACAAAUUCUUCAAAUACUUCUACUACUAUUUCCUUCUACAUACUGUUGAGGAAUGAAAUAAAGAAUCAGAUUGUCUCAUCGUUCAUUCCUUCCUUCGUUCAGGAACCUAACUUGUUGUCCGUCCCUCCUUCUUCCUUCCUCUCGCGUGUUUCUCAGCGCCUACAUCUGUCUGCAUUAUUAUUACAACAAGCUUAUCAAUUUCACAAUCUACUCUACUUAUUUCAUUUUUUGUAUGAUUUACUCUCGAGUGUGUUUGACAAUUUUAUCUUUCUCUCCCUUUGCGCUCUUAAAAACUGUAUAUAUUAUAUUUAUAAUAAUUUAAGAAAACUCCUAUUCAAAAGUACUUAACAUGUAAAACAUCAAAAAAGCAACCCGUAAUCAACUUUUUCAUCCGAGAAAAUAUGAAAUUGCUUAAGAGCAUAUCAUAUUUCGUUACAUAAACUGUUUCAAAACUUACCUUAUUUUUCAUUCAUACCUAUCUAUUUAACUAGCUAAGCCUGAUAACUUAAUAAUUAAACAUUAACAAUGUUUUUAUGAACGUUAAGGAUGGCUAAUUGUACAGCACUAUGACGUAUCUUAUUUCUUUUUAAAAAAUCAAAAAACUAAUAGGCAUUAAACGCAGUUGCUUGACAAAAUUCACUCCCCCUUAUGAAUUUUUGUAUGUAUUUGGUGGUAUAGUAAUGCUCAUGAUUGUGGACUUGCUAUGUUUGUACAUUAAAUUUAUACAUGUGGGAGUAACUUUUUUUAUCGAGGAAAAAGGAGUGUUUGUAUGUUAACUAUUAGUAAUUAUCAUCAAACAUACUCUAUGAAUAUUUAUCUUUUAUAAGAGACAAAAUUCAGUUUUGUUGUAGUUUAUUUGUCGAUAUAUGUUUUAUGUAGAGAAGAGCGACAUUUUCAAUUUUUUUUUAAUAUAAAAAUAUAUCCUUUAAGAUCCUCUAUACACAUAUGUCUCCUCUCAUUCCACCCACUUUGUAAAACUAUGUCUAAUUUUAUUUACACAACUGUGAUCGAAUGAUAACUUUUAUUCAAAGAGAUGGACAAGAGAGAAUUUUUAAUGCUAUAUUAGUUAUUUAUAUAAAUUGUUAACAAUGAUCUGUAUACUUUUUAAGUAUGUAUUAAAGAACUAAAUUAUUACUUUUAUAUACAACUACAUAAAAAUGUUUAUAUAUUUCUGAAAGAGCAUUUAUGUUGUUAUUAAAGUGAAUGUUUUGUUUAUAUGUUAUAAUUAAAUAGUGAAAUGAUGAAUGUUUAUCUUUUUGUAUUAUAUCAGUUGAUUGAUUGAGUCUAUUAGAUGUCAUCCCUCAACCCUUAAUUAGAGACACCGAUUAGAGCCUCAUGUUAAUUUAUAACAGAAGUUAAUGUAUGAAUAUAUAAUAUACAAACAAUGAUUUUA
rnacentral:lncRNA from 1 species